GGGGUCGACCGGAAUUGACAGGAUGGAGAUAAGUAGGUAAGCAUGCAGCGCGUUGUGUGAAUUAGCGCUAUAAUCUGAACACUCAAAACCACAAAUGGCGAAAAUAACUACGCCUUAGCUGCCUAAUUUAGAAUUAGCAUAGCUUUUGUCCCGCCGGUUUUCCGUUUCAUCGGGCCGGCAACCGGGGCAUCGAAAGAUGAAACUGGCUUGUUUAGGGUGUGAUAAACGAGCGAGAUAAAGCACCUACGGAAGAUGGUACAGGUGAGCAACUGACCUUCCCCUUUCCGACAAUUUAAUAGUGCUAAGCAUGUAGAAAGCUUACCUUAUACCAUGUUUGGACGAGGGUUCGAAUCCCUCCGGCUCCACCG
rnacentral:tmRNA from 1 species